GGUAUAAGGUCGUGUCAGAUCUUAACGUGGGGAAUUUUUAAAAUAAACUUUAAAAAAAUGUAAACCAGGACUGACCUAUAGGAUUCUAGGGACGACAUGGGCAAUGUAAAUAUGCCCAAUAAACUUAAAGUGUUGAACUCUGCAACAAACAACACAACAGCUCAAACUUCCCUAUGUGGGCAACACCACUACGAUCUUUAAGGCAGCAGAUCGACAAAAAAAGAAAAAGAAGCAGCAGCAGCAGCCCAGGGUCAGGGCCCUUUUCCCCUGCUUUAAGCUCGUCUCGCCGCGGUUUCCUGUCUCCGCGGCCGCACAAAGGGCUGCGCGACGACGCGCACAAAGAUAGUCUGCUGCGCCACCACCGAUCCCGGAAACCCACCGGCAAGGAGGGAGCGAUCGGCGGUGCACAAUCAGCAGAAAAGCUCCCGACGGUUCCGUUUGGGGAUACAUGCCAUUUGGAUGUGAUCUGUUUAUCGGACGGCUCGCUUACCGAUCCGACAAGAAGGCGAUCAGACAGCAGGGAAAUCGGGUAGUGGAUAAGUGCGCCUUGGCUGGUGGAGUAAUGGCGCUCUCACCUCGGGCUGCGGGCAACUGCGGGACGCGGAGCUCCUCCGGGACUGCUCGGCUCGGAUGUGAUCCUCUAACGUAGCCGAGGCGGAUACGCCGCAAGGUGCAGCACAUCCACUGUACCGAGUCCCAAACUCAUCCGACGCCUCUGUCCCUUUUGUUUAAACCACCAGCUGCAUGUUUCACGCUAACCUCUGCUGUGUAUCUAUUUCAUUAUUAUUUAAACCAUAUCUCAUUUUAAAGUGUAACUGUCAAAAAACAUCGUUCCUGUAAGGCGAUCCAUGGCUGAGAUCAGUGCCAAAAACGAAGACAGGCAGGAGCUCUCCACGGAUCCCGGAAAACCUUGAACCCGGGGGAGUGUCCCGUUUUGGUUCAUUUGAAUAAUUGGAUUGAUUUUUGUCUAAGCGUUACUUAAGAAAUUCUGGGGAAAAGAAAGCGUCGUGUGAAGACCUAAUGCAGUAAAGCUUCCAACAGUACGGCGUUUUAACAAAUAAAUGAGGUAUCUUUAUGCAUGUAAAACUCGUUUUUAGAACAACAUUUUUAGGAAUCGGUGUAAAGGCUCAUAAAUUAAAUGUCUCCCCCAUCCACCAAUACUGAACCAUUAAACUAUUUUAUCAUUCAA